rnacentral:lncRNA from 1 species
AAACUAGAAGAGGGCAUCAGAUUCCUUGAUAGCUGAAUAUGGUCUGCCAUGUGGGCCCUGAGAACCAAACCUAUAUCCUCUACAUGAACAGCAAGUGCUUUCAACCACUGAGCUAUCUCUCCACCCCUAUACUUUUAUGAGCUAGUGAAAUACAGUUUGAUUUUAUCUUGUGAUGUGUGGUGCUGGCAGCCUCAACUUGCAGUCAGCCGUACAAUCGCCAGGGUCAGUGACCAGCAGUUUACACCUGCUAUGUUACCCAGCAUCUUCAGGGACAUUAAGUGCAUGACCCAUGUAUAUUUUCAACUCAAAACAGGCUUGUCAAAAAUAUGGUCUUUCGCCAGGCAGUGUUGGCUCAUGCCUUUAAUCCCAGCACUUGGGAGGCAGAGGCAGGCGAACUUCUGAGUUCCAGGACAGCCUGGUCUACAAAGUGAGUUCCAGGACAGCCAGGGCUACACAGAGAAACCCUGUUUCAAAAAACCAAAAAUAAAUAAAUAAAUAAUGGUCUUUCAUAACUCUUAAAAAAAUUUGUGUUAUUAAGUCUAAGUAUUCAAAUCACGAUAACCUAGCAACCAUUUGAAAAAAUAAUACUCAGAAAAUGGAAGUACAAUAGUAAUUUGAUUCUUUAAUAAUAAUGAUUGCCUAUUAAUGGAAAGUAUACACCAGUGGUUUUUAUUGCAUUUUAAUUUAUUUCCUGUGUGUACAUGCACAGGUGCAUGCCACAGUGCAUGUGUCGUGGUCAGAGAACAACUUACGUGAGUUGGUUCUCGCCUUUUACCGUAUAGGUUCCAAGAAUUAAGCCCAGGUCAUCGGGCAUAGCAGAAAGCACCUACCCUGCUCAGCGCCUCACCAGCCUCAUUUCUUGAUCUUAAACUUCGGACUCAAAUAGCUUAUGUGCACUCCUAGCUUCUGUUUUGUGUAAGCAAAUGUGGGGGUUGGUAGGGAUCAAACCAGGGCCUUGCAUGUACAUGCUAGGCAAGCUUUGUUCCACUGAACGACAUCCCCAGGCCUUGGGGCUUUUGUUGGGUGGUUGUGGUAGUUGUUUGAGACUAGCUCUCAAUUAUUAAGCCCUGGCUGGCCUAGAACGCACUGUGUAGACCAGGCUGGCCUUAAACUUUCAGAAAUAUACCUGCCUCUGCUGCCUCAGUGCUGGAAUUAAAGGUGUGUGCCACCAUGCCUGGCCAGUCCUGUCUGUUUGUUUGUUUGUCUGUUUUGAGACAGGGUUCUCACUAUGUAACCCAAGCUUUUAUCAGACUCAUGAUCCUCUUGCCUCAUUACUGGGCUGGGAUUACAGACAUGUACCACCAGCCUUGUCAUAUUUGCUUUACGGGACUACACCACAGCAACUUUAAAGUUCUAACUUCACAAGCCUGUGACUCCAACACAAAUAUAUUAUAUUUAAUAUCAUGAACUACCUCAAAUGACCAGUUUGGACAAUGUGCAACAGAUGAGGGCAUUGCUAUUUCCCUUAAAUCUAGGACACCCUGUCUCUGAGUUCCCCAGAAAUCCCCUGGAUUCUUGACCACAGUUUCAGAAGUCCUAGUGCACUAGGACUUCAACUAUGGAUUCUGCCUGCUUCCUCUAGAUAUCCAGCUCAGCACAUCUGCUUAGAGAGAGAGAAUUAACUCCAUCAUUGGGGGUAAUAAAAACGUAAAGAAAUUUUCAAUUAAAAAAAAAAUAAACAUUUUAGGAUGAAAUAGCUUAUGAAAAUCCCAAUAUUUUGGAGCCUGGGGCAGGAGGAUUUCACAAUUUCAAGGCCAUCUUGUGAGACUUUACCUGGAAGAAAAAGAAGAUGAAGAGGAGGUGGAAGUACAACAUUCCUAUAAAAUUAAACCCACGAGAGGCGAACCUGAACAUCUCGUAACUUGCAGCAUAAAGAUGUCAUUGGCACUGCAUUGCUAACAGCAAUGUUCUUAUUUAUGAAUUUACUUUAAAUACUGGUUUCAUAUUCUUUUGGUUUUCUACUAUAAAAUUUAAUUUUGUUCUGCUCUUCAUCUUUUUUAGUGGAAAAAGAUGGAAACUAUCAUACGAAGGAAACUCACGUCAAUAAUCUAUAUAGCAUGGUACAUUACUGUGAAAACAUAACGGAAUGCAGAAGAAUACAGCUUUUAGCUUACUUUGGUGAAAAAGGAUUCAACCCUGAUUUUUGUAAGAAAUACCCAGAUGUUUCUUGUGACAAUUGCUGUAAAACAAAGGUAAUUACUUAAGUGGUGGUGCAGGCCUUUAAUCCCAGCACUUAGAAGGCAGAGGAAGGUGGAUCUCUGAGAUCAAGGCCAGCCUGGUCUACACAGUGAGUUCCAAGACAGCCAAGGCUACAUUAUGAAACCCAAUCUCAAAAAAAAAAAGUAAAAUAGUAAAAUAAUAAAUAAAGGUAGGCCGGCAUAGUGGUGCAUGUUUGCAACCCAGUGCUUAGGGGGCAGGAGCGGGAAGGUCAGAAAUUCACCAUGGUCUUUUACUCUAUGGUGUGUUUCAGGCCAACCUGGACUACAUGAAACCUUAAUUCAAAAAGU